GAGCUGCGGUGCAGAGCUGGAGUUUUUUGCAUCAUCACAGCCAUGUCGUGAGUGCUCGCUUGAGGGCGCGAACCGAACGGGGCUCAUUCUC
rnacentral:RNase_MRP_RNA from 1 species